GACGCUGGCGGCAGGCCUACACAUGCAAGUCGAGCGCCCCGCAAGGGGAGCGGCAGACGGGAGAGUAACACGUGGGAACGUACCCUUCAGUUCGGAACAACCCAGGGAAACUUGGGCUAAUACCGGAUACGUCCGUAAGGAGAAAGAUUUAUCGCUGAAGGAUCGGGCCCGCGUCUGAUUAGCUAGUUGGUGGGGUAACGGCCCACCAAGGCGACGAUCAGUAGCUGGUCUGAGAGGAUGAUCAGCCUCACUGGGACUGAGACACGGCCCAGACUCCUACGGGAGGCAGCAGUGGGGAAUAUUGGACAAUGGGCGCAAGCCUGAUCCAGCCAUGCCGCGUGGAUGAUGAAGGCCCUAGGGUUGUAAAGUCCUUUUAACGGGGAAGAUAAUGACGGUACCCCGUAGAAUAAGCCCCGGCUAACUUCGUGCCAGCAGCCGCGGUAAUACGAANGGGGCUAGCGUUGCUCGGAAUCACUGGGCGUAAGCGCACGUAGGCGGGUUGCUAAUCAGGGUGAAAUCUGGACUAACUCAGAC
rnacentral:rRNA from 1 species